rnacentral:lncRNA from 1 species
ACGCCCAGCCUAAUGUUUUUCUUGACUCAGUAAGAUUAACAACAUCUGCUUGGGUAUGGAAUGUGUCUUCAGGACUCACGCCUCUCAGGAGUCACAGUCCUGUGCAGCCUGCUAUUCAGUAUCAGAAAAUACUUUCCAAAUAUCCCAGUUUUCUAGCUGCUUAGGGCAGGAAGGUAAAUCUGGUCCCUCACAGUCAGUCAUGGCCAUAAGUGGAAAUCGAGUCUCUUCAUGCCCAAGAGCACAUCAGAGAAAUGGAGAGUGCUCCUGAAUCCGAAAGGGUCACACAGACAAGAGUGAAGAAUGUCUCAAUAAAUACCAGUGUGGAAGAAUGAUCUUGAGGACCACAUCCUUCACUCUCUCUCCUUCCCCCCUCCCUUUCUGCACAUCUUGCAUCUCAGAAGCCCCCUCCCGGAAACUAGAUACAACUCCAGGGGAAGGUGAGGUUGAAAUCCACAAGUUCACUGAGAUAAAGUUUCUGACAAUGCAAAGAAAGGGAGGCUUGAAAUCAAAAUUAGUUUCUAUUUCUUACAUAAAUGUCUGGACUAGAAUUGUGUCCACUGCUCAGAUCUUACUUAUAUUCAGGGAUGACGUAUCUCAUGGAAGAACAGGGCUCAACGAGCCACUUAAAUGUCUUCCUAUCAAAUGUUAAGGUUCUAGAAACCAAAUGGUGGGUAUAUUAUCCAACAUAUGCCGUGAAAGCAGAGCCAAUCCUGGGGGAAAGCUUCUCUCCUAAUGGUAAGGUGUCCAUAUCCUCUGCCCCAAGAACCAAGACAAGUGAUCUGACAAGUGUGAAGACUGCUUUUCAACAUGAAAAAGAGUUUUCUUAAACUCAAGCAUGAUAUUGGCUCUACUUUGAAUAUCAGUUACGAAAAUUCAUAACGAGCUGAGGUAUCUUCACUAACAUUGCAAAUUAAUUUCUUGUAUUCAUCACAAUGACAUUUAUGUGUAUUUGAAAAGUAAUCCAUAUGGAUGAGCAUAUUUUUCAUUCACUCUACAGACGGAACAUGCACGCUGGUUUGCAGAUCCCUUGCAGUGACUCUACAGCUCCCAGGAAUCUGAGGUUCACAAGGUGAAACCUACCAGGCCAAACAAUUUAAAAUUGGUUUUGUUUUGAAAAUCCAGUAAGUAUGAUGGCAAUGUCUUGCAGAAAUUCCUCUUUUAGUAUUCCAGUCUGUGGGCUCUGGCAGAAGUAAUAGUCUGCUGCAAACAGAUCACUCUUUUUUGUUUGCAAAGUCUUCGUACCAGCUGAAUCACAGCUUGCUUUUCACUUUUCGUAACACCUUGCAACAUCGCAAAAUAUUUGCUGGAGUUUGUGAAGGGCGGCUGCAGAAUUAGUAAACUGAAAGGAGGCCUUCCUUUACUCCCACCCCUUCAAUGCCGCUUGUCCUUGGUCUAUACCUUGAGUAGAAAGGGACUAGUUAACUUGCUGUCUCCUUGAAUGUGUUUUCUGUGAGGGUCAGCCCUGACCACCCCAGUCACAGGAAUCUUUCUGGCCUCCGGAUUCCUAGUGCUCAUAUUGUAUAUAUCGUCCACAAGGUACUUAGGUACUGUUGUAUAUUGGUAUGUCCCAUAUGUGCAUGUCUUCUGUCCCCAACCAGAUUGUAAGCCCAUCUGUGUUUGCUCAGCCCUGUGUGUGCAACAGAGGUGCUGAAUGAAGACCUAUCGAUGAUUGAUUGAUACGUUAAAGAUUAUUUCCUCCUUCCUCAGAAUGCUACACUUCGCUCAUCAAUGGAGCUCAAGAUGUAAAAGUCUGGUUUAAGAGACAUUGAAUCUAUUCUGCCUUUUAUUAUCCCUUUCUUAUAAGUUGACUUUUAAGAAAUCAAUGACUGUGUGGAGAGUUCUAACUGGGUACGUAAUAAAAUAACCAACUGUGGGGGUGGGCAGGGGGCCCUAUCGCACCAGGAAGCUUGUUUAUUGGUUGCAUUAGACCACUAAAGUGGAAGCACUGAGAUAUUCUGGAAAGAACACAGCUUGGGGGCCAACAGAUCUGGGUUCAGAGCCUUACUGCAUCACCUACAAGUUGUGUCUCUUUAGAAAAUUUACUUAAAAUUACUGGGAAUUUAUUUCAUCAUCUGUACAAUGGGCUACUUUUUUCUGUGAUUGUUGUAAGAAUUGUAAUAACUGUUAAAUUAUGUUGCUUAUACUCUUGUGGUUUAAAAUGUGUUGCAGCUGCUGCUAAAUUGAAAUGAUUUGGGGGAUCAUUUGGAGAAGAGAGGUUAUCCUCUGGAAAUCUAUAGGAAGUUGCAAGGAUUAAUAACCACUAAGGAGCAGAACAUUGCUGGGUCAGAAAAUAGCUGCAGGACUUAGAGGUUUUCUGCAACACAGGACUUUCAGCUUCAAAACUGGGACAUUCUCAUGGCAAACUAUGGCGAUUGGUCACCUGGCAGUGAGCCAGACUGGGAGGAUCUGAUGUACCCAUGGAAGUUAGGCCGAAACACUUAUUGAAAUCUGGGGUCAAUUUGAGGCCUUGGCCACAGACCAAUGCAGAAAAGGUGGGCAAAGCGUGGUACAACGAGUACCUUGGUACUCAGUCCCUAGAUUACCAACCUAGAGCACCUGCUGUAGGCCUUGCAUGCAGAAUUAGUUGGCCCCAGUUCUGAGGGAGGGCUCACUAGUCCCUAGUUCCUCUCAAAAGAAUGAGGGUAAUAAGUUAUGACAUCUCCUCAUAGAUUUGUUAUGCAGAUUAGAUGGGAUAGUCUAUACACAGCACUUAGCAAAGGAUCAGAAACAUUUUAAGCACUCAUACUUAAACCCAAAGUCACUCACUAGGUAAUUGGCGUGAUAAGAUACAUGGGCUAUAAUUACCAAAAAUAUAGCUGGUAAUUUAAGAAAAUGGCCAAAUGUGCAAGGUAGUAAAAGUCUAGGGUGGGGCAGGGGACAUAAAAUACCAUAGGAACUGAGGAACAGGGGGUCAGGUCUGAAGAAUCUGUUUUGCAUGAGACACUUUGUAGGCCUUUGGAGAGAAAUUGUGAGGAGGACUUGAAGGACGGACAGUUGGCCCCCAAACUCCAGGCUUUCACUCCCUGAACUAAGAGGGACCUUGAGCAAGCCUUCACCUCUGGGAAGAAGCCCUCAGCAGCCCAGAUAGGAGAGCUGAGGUGUCUGGAAAAGCCCACACCGAGGCCCAGGGCUGGGCCAGUUAUGGAAGGCCAUCAGUGCAGCCCCGUCUUGACUCUUGCCAAGACACUAACAUAUAUAACAAUAUGUUAUGCAACAUAUUGUUAUAGUAUAUAUAUUAGUUAAACAUAUAGUGAAUAAUAUAACAAUAUACUGUGUCCAUAAACAAUAUUUUAGUUCUGUCAGGUUUUUAUCUUUAAGUGAAGGAACACAGUAUAUUUUUCUUUUUCUUGGCCUUUGUCAAUAUUUGUGAGAUUCACCCAUAUUGAAGCAUGUAGUUAUUGUUCAUUUUUACUGCCAUAUGGUAUUGCAUUGGAUGAACAUAUACAAAUUUACAAGUUUGUUUAGUGGUGGGGAUGGAUAUUUGGGUUGGUUAUUUUGAACACAUGGCACAAAACAUUCUUGUACGUAUCUUUUGGUAAAGAUCUUUCUUAUUUCAUUUAUUCAAUGUACCAACUCAAAUGAAAACGUGCCUACUACAUGGCAUGGAAGAAACAGGCUUCUUGUCUUAUCUCGCACAGUCUGCCCACGCAAACCAUCUGUCCAGCCAAACCAAAAUAGCACUGUGCUUCCAGCCUCUGCACCCUGGCUCCUGCCUUGUCGCUGGCUUGAACCACCCUCCCCCAACUCUCUGCUUAAUGAAACUUAAUCAUCCUUUAAUCCGAAGCUCAACUGUCCUGUCUUCUAUAUUGCCUUCCUGAUUAUUACAGCAGGAAGUAAUUUCUCUUGCUCGAAAUGCAGUUAAUUAAAAAAAUGGGCGACUUUGGUGCCAUCAUACUCUGCCUUGGAUUGUAGUGUUUUGUUGGUGAAUUUUAUCUCCCCAAGUAAGCUGUGGGCCUGAAGAAGGCAGCAACUGUAUUUCACACAUCUUAGUAUUCCUCACAGUCUUGCGUAUGAUGUAAGCUAAAUAUUUAUUGAAUGAGUCAAUGAAAGUGAUUUUCAGUGUUGAG